rnacentral:rRNA from 1 species
CUGCUGCCUCCCGUAGGAGUUUGGGCCGUGUCUCAGUCCCAAUGUGGCCGUCCACCCUCUCAGGCCGGCUACUGAUCGUCGCCUUGGUGGGCCUUUACCCCGCCAACCAGCUAAUCAGACGCGGGUCCAUCUUGCACCACCGGAGUUUUUCACACUGUCCCAUGCAGGACCGUGCGCUUAUGCGGUAUUAGCACCUAUUUCUAAGUGUUAUCCCCCAGUGCAAGGCAGGUUACCCACGCGUUACUCACCCGUCCGCCACUAAG